rnacentral:rRNA from 1 species
AUGAACGCUGGCGGCGUGCCUAAUACCUGCAAGUCGAGCGAACGGACGAGAAGCUUGCUUCUCUGAUGUUAGCGGCGGACGGGUGAGUAACACGUGGAUAACCUACCUAUAAGACUGGGAUAACUUCGGGAAACCGGAGCUAAUACCGGAUGAUAUUUUGAACCGCAUGGUUCAAAAGUGAAAGACGGUCUUGCUGUCACUUAUAGAUGGAUCCGCGCUGCAUUAGCUAGUUGGUAAGGUAACGGCUUACCAAGGCAACGAUGCAUAGCCGACCUGAGAGGGUGAUCGGCCACACUGGAACUGAGACACGGUCCAGACUCCUACGGGAGGCAGCAGUAGGGAAUCUUCCGCAAUGGGCGAAAGCCUGGCGGAGCAACGCCGCGUGAGUGAUGAAGGUCUUCGGAUCGUAAAACUCUGUUAUUAGGGAAGAACAUAUGUGUAAGUAACUGUGCACAUCUUGACGGUACCUAAUCAGAAAGCCACGGCUAACUACGUG